rnacentral:rRNA from 1 species
CAGUCGCCGCGGGAAUACGAAGGGGGCUAGCGUUGCUCGGAAUCACCGGGCGUAAAGGGUGCGUAGGCGGGUCUUUAAGUCAGGGGUGAAAUCCUGGAGCUCAACUCCAGAACUGCCUUUGAUACUGAAGAUCUUGAGUUCGGGAGAGGUGAGUGGAACUGCGAGUGUAGAGGUGAAAUUCGUAGAUAUUCGCAAGAACACCAGUGGCGAAGGCGGCUCACUGGCCCGAUACUGACGCUGAGGCACGAAAGCGUGGGGAGCAAACAGGAUUAGAUACCCCUGUAGUCCCUGUCUCUUAUAC